rnacentral:rRNA from 1 species
CCUACGGGUGGCAGCAGUGAGGAAUAUUGGUCAAUGGGCGGAAGCCUGAACCAGCCAAGUCGCGUGCGGGAUGAAGGCCCUACGGGUCGUAAACCGCUUUUGCACGGGGGUAACACGCUCCACUUGUGGACUUCUGCAGGUACCGUGCGAAUAAGGGCCGGCUAAUUCCGUGCCAGCAGCCGCGGUAAUCCGGAAGGCCCGAGCGGUUUACGGAUUGAUUUGGCGUUAAGGGAUCGUAGGCGGGCGUUCAAGUCAGCUGUAAAAUCUCGGGGAUAAACCGCGUCCCGCCGUUGACACUGGAAGUCUUGAGUUGACAACAGGUAGGCGGAAUUCGUGGUGUAGCGGUGAAAUGCAUAGAUAUCACGAGGAACACCGAUUGCGAAGGCAGCAUGCCGGGGUGCGACUGACGCUGAGGCUCGAAGGUGAGGGUAUCAAACAGGAUUAGAUACCCCAGUAGUC